rnacentral:rRNA from 1 species
GACGAACGCUGGCGGCGUGCUUAACACAUGCAAGUCGAACGGAAAGGCCCUGCUUUUGUGGGGUGCUCGAGUGGCGAACGGGUGAGUAACACGUGAGUAACCUGCCCUUGACUUUGGGAUAACUUCAGGAAACUGGGGCUAAUACCGGAUAGGAGCUCCUGCUGCAUGGUGGGGGUUGGAAAGUUUCGGCGGUUGGGGAUGGACUCGCGGCUUAUCAGCUUGUUGGUGGGGUAGUGGCUUACCAAGGCUUUGACGGGUAGCCGGCCUGAGAGGGUGACCGGCCACAUUGGGACUGAGAUACGGCCCAGACGCCUACGGGAGGCAGCAGUGGGGAAUAUUGCACAAUGGGCGGAAGCCUGAUGCAGCAACGCCGCGUGCGGGAUGACGGCCUUCGGGUUGUAAACCGCGUUCGCCUGUGACGAAGCGUGAGUGACGGUAAUGGGUAAAGAAGCACCGGCUAACUACGUG